rnacentral:rRNA from 1 species
GAUGAACGCUGGCGGCGUGCUUGAUACAUGCAAGUCGAACGGAGAGUGUAGCAAUAUACUUUUAGUGGCGAACGGGUGAGUAACGCGUUGGUGACCUGCCCCGAAGCGAGGGAUAACAGUUCGAAAGAACUGCUAAUACCUCAUGUGAUCACCGGUUUUAGAAUCUGGUGAUUAAAGGUGAAAAUCACUUCGGGAGGGGCCUGCGUCCCAUCAGCUAGUUGGUAAGGUAAUGGCUUACCAAGGCGAUGACGGGUAGGGGACCUGAGAGGGUGGCCCCCCACAAUGGAACUGAAACACGGUCCAUACACCUACGGGUGGCAGCAGUAGGGAAUAUUGCAAAUGGGCGAAAGCCUGAUGUAGCAACGCCGCGUGUGCGAUGAAGGUCUUCGGGAUUGUAAAGCACUUUUUGGAGGGAUGAGGAAGGACAGUACCUCCAGAAUAAGCCUCGGCUAACUACGUG